AAUAAACAAAAAAAAAACUAAAUAACAAGUAAAAUAAAAUAAAAAGAUAACCAAAUUGGGCCAAGGCCCAAGUGUAAAGAGGGCGAGAUAUUUAGCAGAAAUAGGGGUGCAGAAGAGAUCUUUUGAUUGGUUGCCAAAAUGGGUUUGAGCCCAAAAAAAAAGGGGCUNNGAAUGGAAGCAAANGGGGUGCAAAAAGGGCUUUCUGUUUAAACGCAGAUUGGGUCCAAGCCCAUAUGAAAAGGGGUGGUGAAGAAUAAGAGCGGGGGUGCGGAAACUGUUUUCUUUUUGGGCAAUCUCUAGUUUUCGUCUCGCAUCUGUCCGGUGUUAUUGUCCACCACUGCCCGUUGCCGCUUGCCACCAAUCGCCACCUGUCGGCUGUCCACUGUCGCUGGCCACCGUCACCGGCCAUCUGGCCGUCUUCGACCACCGUCUUCGGCCACCGCCGCCGACCACUAGUCCUACC
rnacentral:lncRNA from 1 species